GACGAACGCUGGCGGCGUGGAUUAGGCAUGCAAGUCGAACGGUAGUAUACUUUCGGGUAUAUGAGAGUGGCGAACGGGUGAGGAACGCGUAGGUAAUCUACCUUCAAGUGGGGGACAACCCGGGGAAACCCGGGCUAAUACCGCAUGUGGCUGAAAAGCUAAAGCCGGCCUCUGAAUAUGCUGGUGCUUGGAGAUGAGCCUGCGUCUGAUUAGCUAGACGGUGGGGUAAUGGCCUACCGUGGCGAUGAUAAGUAGGCGGCUUUAACGAGUGGUCGCCCACACUGGGAUUGAGAUACGGCCCAGACUCCUACGGGAGGCAGCAGUCGAGGAUAGUCUACAAUGGUCGAAAGAUUGAUAGUGCGACGCCGCGUGAACGAAGAAGCAUUUCGGUGUGUAAAGUUCUUUUCUAUGCGAGCAGGGAUUGGGAGGUUAACAGCCUCUUGGUUUUGAUAUUAGUAUAGGAAUAAGCCACGGCUAACUCCGUGCCAGCAGCCGCGGU
rnacentral:rRNA from 1 species